UGAUACUAAGCCAUGCGAGUCAUUGCAGUAAUGCAAGGCGGACGGCUCAGUAACGCGUAGUCAACCUACCCUAUGGACGGGAAUAACCUCGGGAAACUGAGUAUAAUGCCCGAUAGAACACUAUUCCUGGAAUGGUUUGUGUUCCAAAUGAUUUAUCGCCGUAGGAUGGGACUGCGGCCUAUCAGUUUGUUGGUGAGGUAAUGGCCCACCAAGACUAUUACAGGUACGGGCUCUGAGAGGAGUAGCCCGGAGAUGGGUACUGAGACACGGACCCAGGCCCUAUGGGGCGCAGCAGGCGAGAAAACUUUGCAAUGUGCGAAAGCACGACAAGGUUAAUCCGAGUGGUUUGUGCUAAACGAACCUUUUGACAGUCCUAGAAACACUGUUGAAUAAGGGGUGGGCAAGUUCUGGUGUCAGCCGCCGCGGUAAAACCAGCACCUCAAGUGGUCAGGAUGAUUAUUGGGCCUAAAGCAUCCGUAGCCGGCUCUGUAAGUUUUCGGUUAAAUCUGUACGCUCAACGUACAGGCUGCCGGGAAUACUGCAGAGCUAGGGAGUGGGAGAGGUAGACGGUACUCGGUAGGAAGGGGUAAAAUCCUUUGAUCUAUUGAUGACCACCUGUGGCGAAGGCGGUCUACCAGAACACGUCCGACGGUGAGGGAUGAAAGCUGGGGGAGCAAACCGGAUUAGAUACCCGGGUAGUCCCAGCUGUAAACUAUGCAAACUCAGUGAUGCAUUGGCUUGUGGCCAAUGCAGUGCUGCAGGGAAGCCGUUAAGUUUGCCGCCUGGGAAGUACGUACGCAAGUAUGAAACUUAAAGGAAUUGGCGGGGGAGCACCACAAGGGGUGAAGCCUGCGGUUCAAUUGG
rnacentral:rRNA from 1 species